rnacentral:rRNA from 1 species
UACGUAGGGUGCAAGCGUUGUCCGGAAUUAUUGGGCGUAAAGAGCUCGUAGGCGGUCUGUCGAGUCCGUUGUGAAAACUCGAGGCUCAACCUCGGGCUUGCAGUGGAUACGGGCAGACUAGAGUGCGGUAGGGGAGACUGGAAUUCCUGGUGUAGCGGUGGAAUGCGCAGAUAUCAGGAGGAACACCGAUGGCGAAGGCAGGUCUCUGGGCCGCAACUGACGCUGAGGAGCGAAAGCAUGGGGAGCGAACAGG